rnacentral:misc_RNA from 1 species
AACGCACAUUGCGCCCCUUGGUAUUCCGGGGGGCAUGCCUGUUCGAGCGUCAUUAUCACCCCUCAAGCUCAGCUUGGUGUUGGGGCCUGCCCGUCACAGGGCAGCCCUUAAAAGCAGUGGCGGCGCCAUCUGGCUCUACGCGUAGUAAUACUCCUCGCGACAGAGUCCCGGUGGUGUCCUGCCAGAACCCCCAUAUUUUUAAUGAUUGACCUCGGAUCAGGUAGGGAUACCCGCUGAACUUAA